GUCGAGGGGCAGCGGGGCAGGAAGCUUGCUUUCUGCCGCCGGCGACCGGCGCACGGGUGAGUAACACGUAUGCAACCUGGCCGUGACAGAUGGAUAACCGGGAGAAAUCCCGCCUAAUACAGCAUGACGCCGGGAAGGGACAUCCCUUUCCGGCCAAAGGGGGCGACUCCGGUCACGGAUGGGCAUGCGGCGCAUUAGGUAGUUGGUGGGGCAACGGCCCACCAAGCCGACGAUGCGUAGGGGUUCUGAGAGGAAGGUCCCCCACAUUGGAACUGAGACACGGUCCAAACUUAUACGGGAGGCAGCAGUGAGGAAUAUUGGUCAAUGGCCGGAAGGCUGAACCAGCCAAGUCGCGUGAGGGAAUAAGGCCCUACGGGUCGUAAACCUCUUUUGUCAGGGAGCAAGGCCGCCCACGUGUGGACGGAAGGAGAGUACCUGGAGAAAAAGCAUCGGCUAACUCCGUGCCAGCAGCCGCGGUAAUACGGAGGAUGCGAGCGUUAUCCGGAUUUAUUGGGUUUAAAGGGUGCGUAGGCGGCCUGCCAAGUCAGCGGUAAAAUUGCGGGGCUCAACCCCGUACAGCCGUUGAAACUGCCGGGCUCGAGUGGGCGAGAAGUAUGCGGAAUGCGUGGUGUAGCGGUGAAAUGCAUAGAUAUCACGCAGAACCCCGAUUGCGAAGGCAGCAUACCGGCGCCCUACUGACGCUGAGGCACGAAAGUGCGGAGAUCAAACAGGAUUAGAUACCCUGGUAGUCCGCACAGUAUACGAUGAAUGCUAGCUGUCCGGGGCGA
rnacentral:rRNA from 1 species